rnacentral:lncRNA from 1 species
CACAAUCAAUUUUUGUUAAAUAAUUUGGUCGGGAUGUUUGAAAACAUAAAUGAGAACAAUUACAUGACAAAGUUCUAAAACCAUAACAUAUUACGAUGAACCUCAUUACAAUCGUAUGUCAAACGAUCAAACAAUUUUGACAAGAUUAACUAUACAUCUAAUAUCCUACAAUGACCAAACUGUGCGUUCAUUAUGAUAAUCCAUAAAGCAAAUUCAAAUCAGUCGUUUAAGUCGAACCCUUUCUUUUCUCAUCACACUUCGCGAUUCCCUAUCCUUUGCAGAAACUCAGGUGCAAUGAUAUGUACAUGUCUCGUUUCUCGCUAAUUCGAGCUAGAUUGUCAAAGAGUUUUGGUAACUCUUCAUCUUCCACGUUCGGCGCAUGAUUCACCACUUCAUUAACAUAACUUGACUCCCGCUUAACUCUUCUUCUUUCACCCAGUCAAAUUAUCCACGAUCAUUACUACAAGUGAAGAACAAUCGUCCUUUAUUACUGGCAUCCGUUCGACCUCAAAACAUUUUCGAUGACCGUGUUUACAUGAAAGGCUGAACAAACAAACGUGAAUGCAUCUGAAUUACAAAGUUCCAUAUCAACCACCUAAACCUCAUCAUCCAUGUCAAAAAGCAUUAUCCAAUUUGAUUGUCGACAUUAACCAAUCAAAAACAAAACAGAAAAGGCAAAGCUGUAUGACCGACAUUAACCAUUCAAAACCAACAAUUCUGAUUAUCAAACAAGGCACUAAACUAUUUGAGUAUGUCUAAAUGCAAGCCAUACAAAAUCAUAUUAUCAAUGCCAUAUUAUUGAGUGCGGACCCAUGAAAAAUCAACACUGGGGAGAAGAGAUGUAAAAAUAAAAAAUAAAAAAAUCACCACCAAAAUCAACGUACAGAACCAGAAAAGAAGAAUUACUUACAUUAUCGCCGGAGAUGGAGCACAGUGUGGCGGUGAACGGAGUUCAAUGCGGUGUCGACGAUGGCAAGUGAGUGCGAACGACGGAUGCUACCGUGGUAUACUCUUCGUCAGUGCCGGUCUUUUGUGAUGUUGAGUGCAUGAAUAGAAAAGUGAUUUGGGAGAAAUGAAAGAAAUUUCUCGAUAGUGUUUGGGGGAAAAUGGUUCAGACGGAAUGGGAGAAAUGGAAGAGACGGUUUCGGGGAAAUUUCUGUAGUGG